CAGUAGCCGCGGGAAUACGAAGGGGGCUAGCGUUGUUCGGAUUUACUGGGCGUAAAGGGUGCGUAGGCGGAUUGUUAAGUCAGGGGUGAAAUCCCGAGGCUCAACCUCGGAACUGCCUUUGAUACUGGCGAUCUUGAGUCCGGGAGAGGUGAGUGGAACUGCGAGUGUAGAGGUGAAAUUCGUAGAUAUUCGCAAGAACACCGGUGGCGAAGGCGGCUCACUGGCCCGGAACUGACGCUGAGGCACGAAAGCGUGGGGAGCAAACAGGAUUAGAUACCCCAGUAGUCCCUGUCUCUUAUAC
rnacentral:rRNA from 1 species